AGCGUAUGCAAUCUGCCUUCCACAGAGGGAUAGCCCAGAGAAAUUUGGAUUAAUACCUCAUAGCAUCAUGACCCGGCAUCGGAUAUGAUUAAAGUCACAACGGUGGAAGAUGAGCAUGCGUCCCAUUAGCUAGUUGGUAAGGUAACGGCUUACCAAGGCUACGAUGGGUAGGGGUCCUGAGAGGGAGAUCCCCCACACUGGUACUGAGACACGGACCAGACUACUACGGGAGGCAGCAGUGAGGAAUAUUGGUCAAUGGGCGCAAGCCUGAACCAGCCAUGCCGCGUGCAGGAUGACGGUCCUAUGGAUUGUAAACUGCUUUUGUACGGGAAGAAACCCUCCUACGUGUAGGAGCUUGACGGUACCGUAAGAAUAAGGAUCGGCUAACUCCGAAGCCAGCAGCCGCGGUCAAUAG
rnacentral:rRNA from 1 species